AAUAAGCAUGUUUUACCUUCAUGAUUGUAAUUGAAUAUCUCUAGUAAAACCCUAUCCGAAUGUAUGAAAGUGUCAAAUUUUAUUUUCGGAUUUUCUUAAUCCUAACAAUUGGAUUUUCUUGAUACAUUAUCCUCUUCCGAACUUAACAAGCAUAUAUCAUAUCAAGUUUAAUUCACAUCAUUGAUUUUUGACAUAUGGAAUCAUCUAGCAAAUGCACUUAUCAUGUGAAAAAUAUUUUUCGAGAAACAUAUUUGAUGAUUCCCUCUUAUAAAAAGAAGAUAUUUUUACAUACAAAGAUUUGACUCACUUAUAUAUCUUAAUCCUUGCAAAAAUGAAGUGUGCUUUAAUAUCUUAUCGAUUUGAACUUCACAUAUUGUCACGCCCCUCAAAAUAUUAUCCAUGAUAUUAAAACAAUUUUCAACACAGACCAAUCCAUCCAGGAUCCAAACUAACGUUUGAGGACACUGAAAAACAUUCAAUCAAAUUCACAUCCAUAAAACCUGUGCAUUUUAAAAUCAUAUAUCACAUCACUCGAUAAUUCACAUUUAUGGCAACCCAAGCCAACUUGACAAACAUGAACAACAUUUAUAAAUCCACAAGCUAAAUAAAUUAUACAAUCAGAACUCCAACUAUUCACCACAAGUUCAUAUCAUCAUAAAUUAGACUUAACAUUCAGAAAUUCCAAAUAAGAGAGAUCUCCUAACACUUUGACACAGUAUAUCCAUUUCGGUUCAUCGACAACAUUUCAUUACAUACAAAACAUACUUAUACAACAAUAUCGUAAUAACCACCCAGACUUGCCCAUAAUUCUGAAUAGCUAUCCACUGCCUCAGCGCAAAUCAACAUCUCGAAGAGUGACAAGCUGACCUGAAAGAUUUAUAUAACAACGGAGUGAGCCAAAAACGGCUCAGCAAGUGACAAAGCAUAUUCAGAACAAAAGGAACGGUUUCAAACGAGUAAGGUAUCAUAAUGCAAGGCAGAAUACAAGAAUUCUCAAGGAUACCAUCUCAAUAGAUACCAAAUCAUAUGUAUCAUGUCAUUCAAAAUAUAUUUGAUCCAUAACGAAUGGAGCAUAGAGUAAUUGGAGCAUAUCAAUGGCAGAUAGGACAUAUAAGAACAUAUCAGUUCGUAGCAAAUGGAGCACAGAGUAAUUGGAGCAUAUCAGUAACAAAGGAAACAUAUCGGAGCUUAUCAAUGGCAGAUAGGACAUUUCAGAACAUAUCAAUGG
rnacentral:lncRNA from 1 species